rnacentral:ncRNA from 2 species
CGGAUGGUAUUCGACAGAAACUAUACCGAAGGAAAAUGACUAUAUAAAAAACUGAUGCGACGGUAGCUCAUAUCUUAGGAAUGAGACUAACUA